rnacentral:rRNA from 1 species
CCCUUAGAUGUUCUGGGCCGCACGCGCGCUACACUGUUCGACGCAGCGAGUCUUAACCUUGACCGAAAGGUUUGGGUAAUCUUCAGCAAAGUCGAACGUGAUGGGGAUCGAUCAUUGCAAUUAUUGAUCGUGAACGAGGAAUUCCUAGUAAGUGCAAGUCUUCAGCUUGCGCUGAUUACGUCCCUGCCCUUUGUACACACCGCCCGUCGCUACUACCGAUUGAAUGGUUUAGUGAGAUCUCUGGAUUGACGCUGGCUAGGGGGCGACCCUUGGCCAGGCUGUCGAGAAACUGCUCAAACUUGAUCAUUUAGAGGAAGUAAAAGUCGUAACA